AUGGUCUGGGAACUGGCUUCUGGUUGCUGCUGCCUCCUGGGCUGUACAUCUGUACCAGAUAGCCUUACCCUGACCUAGAGUAACAAAGGAUUGGCCUGUCUCGGUCAUCCUGUGCCGUAACAGGUGUGAACACAUUUUAGUAAAUUGUGCUCAUGUAUAGUACUGCACACAGGU